GGUUCCUUAGCUCAGUUGGUUAGGUACGAAUUUUCUCUCUGCCCUACCCGUCGCUAAGACAUGAUAAAGUAAAUCAUGCUAACAUACCCUGUUCUAGAGCGUCGUGCUAAUAGUUGUCACCUGACAAUACUGAGAGUACGCGAAGGUCGCGGGUUCGACCCCCGUAGGAACCA